GCCCUCGGCCGCCGCCUCCGACAGCAGCUUCAGCCUCAGGGUCCGGAUCUGCGGAAUUCCAGGGAAAUUCGGGAUCGGGAACAUCGGGAUCGACCCCUCAGCCGGCGAAGGCCAGGAGGUCGAUGGGGGUGA